rnacentral:rRNA from 1 species
UACGGAGGGGGCUAGCGUUGUUCGGAAUUACUGGGCGUAAAGCGCACGUAGGCGGCUUUGCAAGUUAGAGGUGAAAGCCCGGGGCUCAACUCCGGAAUUGCCUUUAAAACUGCAUCGCUAGAAUUGUGGAGAGGUAAGUGGAAUUCCGAGUGUAGAGGUGGAAUUCGUAGAUAUUCGGAAGAACACCAGUGGCGAAGGCGACUUACUGGACACAUAUUGACGCUGAGGUGCGAAAGCGUGGGGAGCAAACAGG